AGAGUUUGAUCCUGGCUCAGAUUGAACGCUGGCGGCAGGCCUAACACAUGCAAGUCGAACGGUAGCACAGAGAGCUUGCUCUCGGGUGACGAGUGGCGGACGGGUGAGUAAUGUCUGGGAAACUGCCUGAUGGAGGGGGAUAACUACUGGAAACGGUAGCUAAUACCGCAUAACGUCGCAAGACCAAAGAGGGGGAACUUCGGUCCUUGCGCUAUCGGAUGAACCCAUAUGGGAUUAGCUAGUUGGUGAGGUAAUGGCUCACCUAGGCGACGAUCCCUAGCUGGUCUGAGAGGAUGACCAGCCACACUGGAACUGAGACACGGUCCAGACUCCUACGGGAGGCAGCAGUGGGGAAUAUUGCACAAUGGGCGCAAGCCUGAUGCAGCCAUGCCGCGUGUAUGAAGAAGGCCUUCGGGUUGUAAAGUACUUUCAGCGGGGAGGAAGGGGUUAAGGUUAAUAACCUUAGCCAUUGACGUUACCCGCAGAAGAAGCACCGGCUAACUCCGUGCCAGCAGCCGCGGUAAUUC
rnacentral:rRNA from 1 species